rnacentral:rRNA from 1 species
UACGUAGGGUGCAAGCGUUGUCCAGAAUUAUUGGGCGUAAAGAGCUCGUAGGCGGUUUGUCGCGUCGAAUGUGAAAUCCCGGGGCUCAACCCCGGGUCUGCAUUCGAUACGGGCAGACUAGAGUUCGGUAGGGGAGUCUGGAAUUCCUGGUGUAGCGGUGAAAUGCGCAGAUAUCAGGAGGAACACCGGUGGCGAAGGCGGGACUCUGGGCCGAUACUGACGCUGAGGAGCGAAAGCGUGGGGAGCAAACAGG